rnacentral:rRNA from 1 species
GACGAACCGUGCGAACGUUAUUCGGAAUCACUGGGCUUAAAGCGCGUGUAGGCGGAUGGGGACGUCGGUCGCUGAAAGCCCCCGGCUCAACCGGGGAAGUGGCGCCGAAACGCCCCGUCUGGAGGGACGUAGGGGGACCUGGAGCUUCCGGUGGAGCGGUGAAAUGCGUUGAGAUCGGAAGGAACGCCCGUGGCGAAAGCGAGGUCCUGGACGUCUGCUGACGCUGAGACGCGAAAGCUAGGGGAGCGAACGGG